rnacentral:rRNA from 1 species
UAGCGUGGAUUAGGCAUGCAAGUCGAACGGGAUCCGCGAGGUAGCAAUACUGAGCGGUGAGAGUGGCGGAGUGGGGAGGAACACGUGAGCAACCUGUCCUUGAGUCGGGGAAAACCGCGGGAAACUGCGGCUAAUACCGGAUGUGGCGUCCGACGACAUCGUCGGAGCGCUAAAGGGGGCCCGCAAGGGCUCUCGCUCUUCGAGGGGCUCGCGCACCAUCAGCUUGUUGGCGGGUAACGGCCCACCAAGGCGUACGGUUAGCUGGUCUGAGAGGAUGACCAGCCCCCACUGGGACUGAGAUACUGCCCAGACUCCUACGGGAGGCUGCAGUCGAGGAUCAUUUGCAAUGGGCGAAAGCCUGACAAUGCGACGCUGCGUGGAGGAUAGAAGGCCCUCGGGUUGUAAACUCCUGUCAUAUGGGAACAGGCGAGGGGACCCAACACGUCCCUUAGUUGAGUGUACCUUAAGAGGAAUGGGCGGCUAACUCUGUGCCAGCAGCAGC